UACGGGGGGAGCAAGCGUUGUCCGGAUUUAUUGGGCGUAAAGGGCAUGUAGGUGGUCUUUUAAGUCAGUUGUUAAAACUAUCGGCUUAACCGGUAAUUGCAAUUGAUACUGGAGGACUUGAAUUUGAGAGGGGAUAGUGGAAUAUCAAGUGUAGCGGUGGAAUGCGUAGAUAUUUGAUAGAACACCUGAGGUGAAGACGACUAUCUGGCUCAUAAUUGACACUGAGAUGCGAAAGUAUGGGGAGCAAACAGG
rnacentral:rRNA from 1 species